UUGGAGGGCAAGUCUGGUGCCAGCAGCCGCGGUAAUUCCAGCUCCAAUAGCGUAUAUUAAAGUUGUUGCAGUUAAAAAGCUCGUAGUUGAAUUUCGGGAUUAAUUUAUUGGUCGUGCUAUUGUACGUACUGGUAUUAUUGAUUCCUACCUUCUGACGAACCACGAUGUCAUUAAUUUGGUGUCUUGGGGAAUCAGGACUGUUACUUUGAAAAAAUUGAGUGUUUAAAGCAGGCUCACGCUUGAAUACAUUAGCAUGGAAUAACGAAAUAGGACGUUUGAUUCUAUUUUGUUGGUUUCUAGGAUCGACGUAAUGAUUAAUAGGGAUAGUUGGGGGCAUUAGUAUUCAAUUGUCAGAGGUGAAAUUCUUGGAUUUUAUUGAAGACUAACUACUGCGAAAGCAUUUGCCAAGGGAUGUUUUCAUUAAUCAAGAACGAAAGUUAGGGGAUCGAAGACGAUCAGAUACCGUCGUAGUCUUAACCAUAAACUAUGCCGACUAGGGAUCGGAUGAUGUUAAUUUUUUAAUGACUCAUUCGGCGCCUUACGGAAA
rnacentral:rRNA from 1 species